rnacentral:siRNA from 1 species
GAAAAGUGCCUCAAACGGAAUA